rnacentral:rRNA from 1 species
GAUGAACGCUGGCGGCGUGCCUAAUACAUGCAAGUCGAGCGAACGGACGAGAAGCUUGCUUCUCUGAUGUUAGCGGCGGACGGGUGAGUAACACGUGGAUAACCUACCUAUAAGAUUGGGAUAACUUCGGGAAACCGUAGCUAAUACCGGAUAAUAUUUUGAACCGCAUGGUUCAAAAGUGAAAGACGGUCUUGCUGUCACUUAUAGAUGGAUCCGCGCUGCAUUAGCUAGUUGGUAAGGUAACGGCUUACCAAGGCAACGAUGCAUAGCCGACCUGAGAGGGUGAUCGGCCACACUGGAACUGAGACACGGUCCAGACUCCUACGGGAGGCAGCAGUAGGGAAUCUUCCGCAAUGGGCGAAAGCCUGACGGAGCAACGCCGCGUGAGUGAUGAAGGUCUUCGGAUCGUAAAACUCUGUUAUUAGGGAAGAACAUAUGUGUAAGUAACUGUGCACAUCUUGACGGUACCUAAUCAGAAAGCCACGGCUAACUACGUG